GGGGCUGGGCAUGGUCACUCCUGCUGGAUGUCUGGAAGGUGAAAACCAAGGACCUAGGGAAAUACCAGGUACAGCCUUUCCACCCUCAUCCAGAGCAGGACAAACAGGCCAGGUGGUAUCAGGAGCCCAGGUCUCCAGCUGGAGGGAAUGUCAACCCUGCAGUGGGAGCCCAUCACGCAUCCUAGGCACAGAUGCUAAUGUAGGCACCGCGGGUAAGCUGAGCUUGGUACCCCUCCCUGGCUUCAAAAAUAAGCCAAACAAGGAGCUUUCUGCAGAAUGAAACCUGUUUUUCAUCCAGAAGCACUGCUGACUGUUUGGUGGUUGCUGUUGGGGCAGUGAGCCUUUUGUCCAUUCUGAGAUUGGGCUGGUUUCUCCUCUUGGCCCUGCCCUACAGACCAUAAAGGAAAACAGCAAGAGGUCCGCAGCAAACAUCUACAGAUGGCCCUGGACAUCAGCCACAUUCUGAGAAACAUGUCAUGUUCUGGGAGGGCUAAGGCAUCAAGCUCACCCUGCAGGAAUCCCAGUGAAUAUAUUGCCACCAUCUUGGAGCUCAGUGCCCUCUUAGUGUAAUGGCACCAGCAGAUCUGCCUGUGCACGGACUUCCUGUACUACCUCACUCCUGAGGGGAGAUGCUUCUGCAGGGCCUAUGACCUGGUGCACAACUUUAGACACCAUCAUCCUGGAGCAGCACCUCACCCUCACUUGCCGGGGUGUUGAUGACUUCCUCAAGGCUAAGGCCACAUUCAAGAUUUUGGACUUCAGUGAUGCAUUUUUGCUGAGCAAGGUGGGCUUCUCCGGGAUUUUAGUUCAGGAGGUAGAAUGCAGCUUGAGAUCAAGUGUCUGAUCAAAUAACUUGAACUUGAUCUGGAGAGCUCUGGGGAGCCAUAGAAGUUGUUGGAUAAAGGAGGGACAGUCGUAUAUGUUUUAGAGAUGACUGUGGAAGGCUGCCUGGAAGGAGUGAACAAGAGCCAGGAGACCAGGGAGGGAGCUUGUGGGGCAGGUCUGGAGAUGACAAGGGAGGGAUCCUGCUUUGAUGAAAGGUCUUCAGGGAAUGUCUCAGGUUACACUCAGGUGUCCUCAGAGCUAGUGUGUUCAGGGGUCUUGCCUCCAGGAUGAAAAUGAGAAGGAGUUGUCAGACAAGAACAUAUAAAUGAAGGCUGGCAUCUUCGUGAGUGCCAAUCGUUGUCCUGGUGUGGACUACUGUGGGAAUAGGGGUCUCUCCAUCCAGGGACAUGGUGGAUGGACCCUACAUCACUCCAUUCUGCCCUUCCUUUCCCUCCCAUUCUGAGGGCCUCAGUGCAAGGGCGCUGUCCAACCUCUGGUGCUGAAGCAGCCGAGAGACCCAAGCCUGCCACUCAGGAUAUGACAGCACAGCCAGUGGCCUCUACUGGAUCCUGUACAACCUCAGAAGACACCUAGACACUGGGAGUGCUGCCACCACGUGGUGCAAGAGUUCUGAGGGACCGCAAUUCUGAAGACAUUGAAUGGUGGGUGCCAGGCCUCGUGGCUGUUCCCCAGCCCCUCUCAUAGGCUCUGCUCCAGCUGGUGAAGGGGGAUGACGUCUCUGUCAAUUCUGCCAUGAUUGCCUAGCAGGAAAAGGAGCAGAGCCCAGAAGCAGGGCCUGGUACCCAGCCUGCCUAACAAGGGAGAAUUUGUAGGCUUUGUGGACAGAAAGAUCUGGGAGUCCAUAUCACCCACUAACUUGCUGAGACAUUAGUAAAAUCAGUUUUCUUUUCUGA
rnacentral:lncRNA from 1 species